rnacentral:rRNA from 1 species
UACGGGGGGGGCAAGCGUUGUUCGGAAUUACUGGGCGUAAAGGGCCAGUAGGCGGCCAACUAAGUCCGACGUGAAAUCCCAAGGCUUAACCCUGGAACUGCGUCGGAUACUGGAUGGCUUGAAUUCGGGAGAGGGAUGCAGAAUUCCAGGUGUAGCGGUGAAAUGCGUAGAUAUCAGGAAGAACACCCGUGGCGAAGGCGGCUCUCUGGGACGGUACUGACGCUGAGACGCGAAAGCGUGGGGAGCGAACAGG